rnacentral:rRNA from 1 species
UGAAUACGAGACGCUAAGGCGUUGAAGUAGUGUAUGUCAUACUUCCAAGAAAAGCUUGCACUGUCAUAGAUAAAAAACGCCUGUACCAUAACCGACACAGGUGGGUAGGUAGAGUAUACUAAGGGGCGCGAGAUAACUCUCUCUAAGGAACUCGGCAAAAUAACUCCGUAACUUCGGGAGAAGGAGUGCCUUAUUUAUAAGGCUGCAAUAACAAGAUCCAAGCAACUGUUUAUCAAAAACACAGGUCUCCGCUAAGUCGUAAGACGAUGUAUGGGGGCUGACGCCUGCCCAGUGCCAGAAGGUUAAAGAAGUUGGUUAGCAAUAGCGAAGCUGAUAACUGAAGCCCUGGUGAACGGCGGCCGUAACUAUAACGGUCCUAAGGUAGCGAAAUUCCUUGUCGGGUAAGUUCCGACCCGCACGAAAGGCGUAAUGAUUUGGAUACUGUCUCGGAGAGGGGCUCGGUGAAAUAGACUUGUCUGUGAAGAUGCGGACUACCUGCACCAGGACAGAAAGACCCUAUGAAGCUUUACUGUAACUUGAAAUUGAAAUUGGACUUUAUUCGCGCAGUAUAGGUGGGAGGCGUUGAUUGUAAUCUUGCGGGAUUAUUGGAGCCAUCAGUGAGAUACCACCCUUGUAAUGUUAGAUUUCUAACUUUGAAUCAUUAUCUGGUCAAAGAACAGUUUCAGGCGGGCAGUUUGACUGGGGCGGUCGCCUCCUAAACGGUAACGGAGGCGUACAAAGGUUUCCUCUGAACGGUUAGAAAUCGUAUCUAGAGUGUAAAGGCAUAAGGAAGCUUGACUGUGAGACCUACAAGUCGAGCAGGGACGAAAGUCGGUCUUAGUGAUCUGACGGUACUGAGUGGAAAGGCCGUCACUCAACGGAUAAAAGUUACUCUGGGAUAACAGGCUGAUCUCCCCCAAGAGUUCACAUCGACGGGGAGGUUUGGCACCUCGAUGUCGGCUCAUCGCAUCCUGGGGCGGUAGUACGUCCCAAGGGUUGGGCUGUUCGCCCAUGAAAGCGGUACGCGAGCUGGGUUCAGAACGUCGUGAGACAGUUCGGCCCAUAUCCGGUGUAGGCGUUAGAAUAUUGAGAGGAGCCUUCUUUAGUACGAGAGGACCGAGAAGGACAUACCUCUGGUGUACCAGUUAUCGUGCCAACGGUAAACGCUGGGUAGCUAUGUAUGGAGUGGAUAACCGCUGAAAGCAUCUAAGUGGGAAGCCCACCUCAAGAUAAG